rnacentral:rRNA from 1 species
ACUCCUACGGGAGGCAGCAGUGGGGAAUAUUGCACAAUGGGGAAACCCUGAUGCAGCCAUGCCGCGUGUGUGAAGAAGGCCUUCGGUUGUAAAGCACUUUCAGUAGGGAGGAAGGUAGUGUAGUUAACACCUGCACUAUUUGACGUUACCUACAGAAGAAGCACCGGCUAACUCCGUGCCAGCAGCCGCGGUAAUACGGAGGGGUGCGAGCGUUAAUCGGAAUUACUGGGCGUAAAGCGCAUGCAGGCGGCCUGUUAAGUCAGAUGUGAAAGCCCGGGGGCUUAACCUCGGAAUUGCAUUUGAAACUGGCAGGCUAGAGUCUUGUAGAGGGGGUAGGAAUUUCAGGUGUAGCGGUGAAAUGCGUAGAGAUCUGAAGGAAUACCAGUGGCGAAGGCGGCCCCCUGGACAAGACUGACGCUCAGAUGCGAAAGGCUGGGGAGCAAAC